GGGGCGGCAUCUCCAUUGUUGUACGUCGAGCUCGUCCUCAAGGGAUUCAAGAACCAAACAAGCAACAUAACAUUUUUGAAACGGUAGACAUUCCUGACUUAGAUAGUGGUACCAUAAGUAAAGGGAAGCUUGCAUCUAGUAAAUACCAA